AUUCGAGCCUUUUGUAAUCGACUACUAGCUCAUGACAAAUUUAUAUAAUUUCGUAGUUAAUUAGUAUCACUACGACAUUAUAAUUUACUUAUUAUCUGCAAUUGCAUAAAAAUCAGAUAAAGUUAAUAUUCAAACAAACGCAUUACUAUAUUUUUAACUUCGUUUAUUUAACUGUAAGUAUCAGCAACUUAAGCGAUGUUACCGGCUGGUUCAUUAUCAUCGAUAGCUAGCCUCCGAUAAGUAGUAAAUGAGCUUACACUCAUCUCAAACUUAUUAAUUCUUGCAACUAGAAAACAUUGACAGAUUGCGACAACAUAAUUGGAUUAACAAAGCAGCCAGAAUCCUUGCACGUACUUAUCUUACAAUUAGACGCUUGCCUGCUUCGGGAAAAUACAGAUGCCAAAGAGUACUGUGCAUGGUCAAACAAUAAAAUAACGGUACCCAACGAGUACCAAAAAAAUAAAAACGAACAAAUAAACCCACACACAGAAGCAAGAAAGGAAGAAUCAUUUGUUAAGCACAGUCGCCGCAAUUGCAAGCUCUUGCCAAAAAUUAAACAAGCAAACAAUAGUACAAAUAGUUUAUUAAUACAUAAACAAACUAAAAA